UUAAAUUCAUAGACUUUUUGAGCAUCAACCUAAGAAGGAUUGAACAUGGACAAAAAGAGAAGCCAUCUGCAGGUAUCCAAAAUUCAGGGGGUCUGCUAAAUUUCUCACCAUUGCAAGUAGUGUCCAAUUCUCAAAAGACAUUUAAAUGCUGGUCAUUGUUCACUGAAGAGAACAUUUAAAUGCUGAUCAAGAACAUUCCUUCUGAUUAUCAAUACUAACAAUACAUUGCAAUGAUUCUUUAG